GCGCCCGGCCGAGCGAACGGGAGGGCCGGAGCCGCGCCGACUGCGGCGGGUUCCAUGGCCCGGCGGGCCGCGUCGGGGGCGUUGGGCGCGGGCGCGAGCUGGGGGCGGGAGCGGCGCCGCGCGCAUGCGCGUUCCGCCGCUCGGGCCUGGCGGGGCCGGAGGGCGCGCGGUCCCCGGGGCGCGCCCUCGGCCCUGGCCGGAGCGGGCCGCCCUCGCAGUGCGCGCGCAGGCGGGGUCGCGAGCUGGGGCGCCGUCGGGGCGCGAGAAAGGCGGCCUCGGAACUGGCACAGGUGGUGAGAAAGCGUGGCUGCUGCAAGACGAGGCCCGGAGCCGGGGCCCUGGACGUGCCGGGCGCUUCGGGCGGGCCCACCGUGCUCGCGGAGGGACCGUGACGGCAGCAGGCCCGGCGCGCCCGCCGCCAGGCGCCGGUCCGGGGCCCAGCGCGCGGGCCCGGCUCUUGGGCGGAGGGGCCGCCCCGCGCGUGGCGCGCGUCGAGGGGACGGCUGCCCGGUGUGCGUCGCCUAGUCCGUGCUGCUGUGCUCGCCCUGGCUUCCGCCACAUUGCGGCGCAGUAGCCGGACGAGCGCGGGGGCGGCCGGGGGCGGCGACAGGGUCGCGCGGGGAGGGCCCACCGGCUGAGGCCACGGAAGGCGGUCCGGCGGGGUCGGUAGCCUCGGCGGAAGUGGUUCAGAGCAGCAAGAGGUGACCGACUGCAGGCGCGGCCUUAGGAGGGGGCACAAAGGGCAGGCAGUGUCUCCCCCCGAAAUCUUGGAGCCAAAACUAGUCAACACGUCACAGGGAUUUGAAAGUCGAUGGAGAGAUUUGAGGACAACGUAAAGUACGGCUGGAAAAAUAAAUAGGAAAGGCCCUCUUAAGCGAAACCUAGUGAACGCUUGCAUCCUACCGGAUGAAAACGUCCCAGAGCGGUGCGCAGUAGGCACGCGACAUGAACGAUCAUUCCCAAAGUACAAUCGGUGUGCGUGUGUCCCCUGACACAGAGGACCGCCAAUCUGUGGAACUCCAUAGGAAUGCUGCCCCGUGGCAGGCUCUCCAGCCUUCAGCCUCGGCUGCCGCCUUCGAAUCGCUCUUCGGGGAAACGAGAGGCUGUUUCGUUCCGUGCUAGAGCAGGGCUGAUCAUUUUCUCUCCCGAGUCGCUAAAACACAGAUAAGUGUUCUUAAUUCUGUCUCAUACUGGGGGGCAUCUGUUCACUUCUUCCCUAAAAAUGAGAGGCUUUAUGUCAACUGAACCUUUCUGCCAGUGAAUUAACCUCACACAACCCCAGCCUCACCUGCCCAGGGGGGACAGGGCAGAGGCACCGCGAGCUCCAUCUUUUUACACACUCAGCUCACAACAACGUUCUACGGCCCACGGCGUGUGACAGGGGCUCUGUGAAGCUUGCACUCUUCUAGCACAUUCUCUCCCAUAGAAUCCUCACAGCUGCUGACAGUCACUUCUACCUUUCUAGGUCUCAAAUGGUAAAAUUAGAAAGUUGAACUAACGGCUCUCUGAGGUCCCCACACAGCUUUUUUUUUUAGGAUUUUAUUUGUUUAUUUAUUUGACAGAGAGAGAGACAGCGAGAGAGGGAACACAAGCAGGGGGAGCGGGAGAGGGAGAAGCAGGCUCCCCGCUGAGCAGGGAGCCCGAUGUGGGGCUCGAUCCCAGGACCCCGGAAUCAUGACCUGAGCCGAAGGCAGACGCUCAACGACUGAGCCACCCAGGUGCCCCCCCACCCAGCUUUAAUAUCCUAUCACUGCUCUAUGCUUCAACCAUAAAACGUCAAACACUAUUUUUUUAAGGAAGAGCCUGCUGGGAUAAAGGGUAAAGGUCCUUGAACAUGCACAUUCCCAGGGCUCCCUGCUUGCCCGUGGAUCACAGGUGUGAGAGUCACACUUGGCUAUAAUAAAAACAAAAAUGUGCCAACAAUUCACUAGCAGUCCCCAGCUUCCUUUCUGCAGCUCAGUGCUGCCUGCAACCUCUCUGGGGAAGUCACGUGCCCAGGGGCAGCCACACUGAAAGAGGGGACAACACCCUACCCCAUUUCUCUAGAAUCCUAAACACAACCAGCCCAUUGCCUGGGGAGGUUACCCUGGGGCCAAGUGAUAGAGGAAAGGGCAGGUUCCAAAGCCCUGUCACCACUGGUCCUUCCUGUCCCUCUCCUGGUCCCCGUCGGGCCUCAGGGCCCACCCACCGCUCACCUGGAGUGCGGCUCCCCGGGUUACUUCUCACCUCAACUGCAGAACUUAAUGGGAUCUUCUGAAACCACUCUCAGCUGGUCUUCACUUCUCUGGUCCUCCAGAACUCCUUAGAACACCCAGGCCGGGCCCCCACAGCUCUGCUCUCUCUAUCCGCUGCCCUGCCCUCCCCCUCCUGCUCCCUGUGAGCCCAGUCACUUGCUCAGCUUACCCAGCUUACGGCCGCCUCCCACAGCUGCACCGGGCCCUGGGUUGCUCCCCGCACAGUCCGUCCCCUGUCUCAGCCAGCAACCCUCUGUGACACUCUCCACUUCUCAAGCUGCUCGGGCUGUGCCCCGUCCCCUUCCCGGUGAGUGGGGCCCCUCCAGCACCUGCCUGGUCUUCCCCCAGCCACGUGCCAGCAUCACUUAUAAGCCAUUUACCCAACCUGGAGCGGCCUUCCUCCCACCAAGUUCGCAUCUCGGUUAAGGACCUUGGCUCCUAGAACAGGGCUUGCUGGCUUUCCUGCGUCAUCCCUGCUGUCUUGACAGUGAUGUCUGGGACAUUCCUUGCAGCUCGUCAUCAUUUUCUGCUAACCUCAACUCCAUCUCUUCUUCCCCAGCCCGGCUGCCAGGGCCUCGUCUUCGCCUGCAUCCUCCCAACUCGAAGGUAGGCCCAUUAGUCCCGGCUUCAAACACGCCUCUCAGUUUCAUCCCCCAUCCUGCCUGGAGAGUGAGCUUUCCAAAAUUCAAACCUGACCUUUUCGCUCCUAAGCUAAACUGUUCCGAGGUGCUGCCAAUUCCUGCAUUCUGGAUUUUAAAAUCUGUUUUAAGAUACAUUAUGUAAUGCUAAACGCACAGAAGUGUAUAAAUACUGUUACUAACACCUGCACACUCAUCACUGAUUCUGCCUGGACGUCACAGUUGGAGGCCUGUGUCCUCAUGGCCACUGUUUUGCACAACUUCAGGGGACACGCCCAGGGGUCAAGCCAUGCACCCUCAGCCUCGGGGCUAGGAGAGCAGCCCUGCAUGUGCUUCCCCUCCCGGCAGUCACCCCAGACACGGAGCUAAUCUUCAUGUGCUCACUCCCUCUGCAUCUCGAAGCUGUAUGUGGUACUGUUCUGCCCACCUUCUGUAAGUGGUGGCAAGCUCUAUAUACUUAAGCAUCUGUUUUCUCGUUCCAUAUUGUGAUGAAAUGCAUAUUGUCUUCAUUUUCGCGGCUGCGGACAGUUCCAUUGUAUGACUAUAGUGCAAUUUUCUUAAUCUCUUCUGUUGAUGAAAUUUAGGCUAGUUUCGAUUUUUUUUCUUUGCUACUACAAAUAUUAUUGCUCUGAACAUCCUUAUACAUGUCUCCCUGUGGAUAUAAAUAUUCUGGGCUGUAGGAGUGGAGUUGCUGGGGUUUAACAUGAUUUUCCAACAUGAUUGCAAGAAUUUACAUUCUCACCAGCAGUGUCUGAAAAUUCUGGUGCUCUCUGUCCUCGUCCCGACUGAGUACUACCAGGCUUCUCCAUUUUUGCUAACCUGUGAGGUUUUGAGUUUUCUUAAUUUCUAGUGAGGGUGAACCUCCCAUUUGCUUUUCCUCUUCCGUGAUUUGCCUCUUGUUUUGUUUUGUUUUUUGCCUAUUUUAAAAAUUUGGUUUUGUGUGUUUUCAUUGAUCUAUUAUAAUUCUUUGUAUAUUCUGAAUACUAAUAUUUUAUUGAUAAAUACAGGUAUUUUAUGAGAUA